CGUAGGGUCCGAGCGUUGUCCGGAAUUAUUGGGCGUAAAGGGCUUGUAGGCGGUUCGUCACGUCGGAAGUGAAAACUCAGGGCUUAACCCUGAGCCUGCUUCCGAUACGGGCAAACUAGAGGGAUGCAGGGGAGAACGGAAUUCCUGGUGGAGCGGUGGAAUGCGCAGAUAUCAGGAGGAACACCGGUGGCGAAGGCGGUUCUCUGGGCAUUUCCUGACGCUGAGAAGCGAAAGCGUGGGGAGCAAACAGGCUUAGAUACCCUGGUAGUCCACGCCGUAAACGGUGGGCACUAGGUGUGGGGAACAUUCCACGUUCUCCGUGCCGAAGCUAACGCAUUAAGUGCCCCGCCUGGGGAGUACGGCCGCAAGGCUA
rnacentral:rRNA from 1 species